GUCAGUGGGUCCGCAAAAAUGCGGAAAUGUGCAGUAUGUCAUCCGCAAUUGCGGAUCCGCAGGAAAUAUAAAAAAGUAGGUCUGCCCCCUGAACUUCAGAACCCAGGAAAGCAGUGUAUUGAGAAGGAGGCAAGAUUGAUUAGAGCAAAAAUGUCGUCUUAUGAUGUGGAAAAACUCAUCGUAUUGAUCCAGGAACGCCCAUCCCUAUGGGACACCCGAUCUGAUGUCUAUCACAACCGUGCCAAAAAGGAAGAAAUAGCAACAAAAGAAAGGAAGAAAAAAAGGAAGAAAUAGGGAAGAAAUAGCAAAACAACUAGUCACAUCUUCAUGGUCUUCAGCAUCAAUCCUGAAAAAAGAAAAGAUUUUAAAACUGAUCAAAAAGUGCUGGAACACCUGCCGGGACCAAUUUUGCAGAGAAAUUUAUGCUAAACAGAGAAGUGGUGAUGGUGUACUAAAAUAAAAAACAUAUAUGUACUGUAGGAAGGCGCAAGGGUCCAUCAUUGACGGAAGAACUGUAGAUAAUCUGACUCUCAAGAAUUCGGGUUCCAGACCUCAAUCCACACAGGAGGCAGAUCAUCAGGAGGAUAUGCCUGAAGAAUCUUCUGCUACUGAACAGCUCCAGCCUUCAGAGCCUAUUGAACCAUGUCCUGUAAGGCUGGGUUCAGACCUGAGCGUUUUA